AUAAGAACUGCUACCAGCCUUCCAAUAGAUAUACACUGCUAAGUUCUUGGCUGCCUUCAAAUUCCCAACACUUUUUAAAGAACUCUAUGACAUCUCUCACAAUAUAGGGAUUAUCCAUUGAGGAUUCAGAAAUGAAAAAUUCAACUGUGCUGACAGAGUUUGUGCUUACAGGGCUCACAGGGUCUUCAGAGCUACAGGUGCCCUUAUUCUUGUUUUUUUCUGGUGAUCUAUCUUAUCACUAUUGUAGGGAACCUUGGUCUAAUUGCUCUUAUCUGGAAUGACCCUCACUUACAUAUCCCUAUGUACUUCUUUCUUGGCCAUCUGGCUUUUGUGGAUGCUUCCCUAUCAUCCACAGUGGCACCAAAGAUGUUACUCGAUUUCUUACAGAUGAAUAAGAUGAUUUCCUACUCUGAAUGCAUGACACAAUUCUUUAUCUUUGCAAUCUGUGUUACUACAGAAUGUUUCUUGUUGUCAGCUAUGGCAUAUGAUCGCUAUGUAGCCAUAUGCAAACCUUUACUUUAUCCAAUGAUUAUGACUAAGAGACUAUGUAUAUGUCUCUUAGUCCUGUCUUUUGUAGGUGGAAUUCUUCAUUCUUCAAUACAUGAGGGAUUUCUAUUACUACUAAAUUUCUGUAAUUCCAAUAUAGUACAUCACUUUUUCUGUGACAUCGUUCCAUUGCUAAAGAUUUCCUGUGCUGACACUACUCUUAAUUUUCAACUGAUAUUUGUUUUUGCUGGAAUAAUUCAAGUCUUCACGGUUGUGAUUGUUCUUGUGUCCUAUACACUAGUGCUGUUUACAAUUCUGCAAAGGAAGUCUGUCCAAGGUAUGAAGAAGGCUUUCUCUACCUGUGGUGCCCAUCUCUUAUCUGUGUCUCUGUACUAUGGGCCUCUUCUCAUCAUGUAUGUUUUCCCUGUGUCCCAAGAAGCAGAUGGUCAAGAUAUCAUAGACUCUCUGUUCUACACGAUCAUAAUUCCUGUGUUAAAUCCAAUUAUCUACAGCCUGAGAAACAAGCAAGUCAUGGAUUCUCUGAAAAAUAUGUUAAAGAAAAAGGUUUAG